AACGAGCGCUGGCGGCAUGCCUAACACAUGCAAGUCGAACGAGAUCUUCGGGUCUAGUGGCGCGCGGGUGCGUAACGCGUGGGAAUCUGCCCUUUGGUUCGGAAUAACAGUUGGAAACGACUGCUAAUACCGGAUGAUGACGAAAGUCCAAAGAUUUAUCGCCAGAGGAUGAGCCCGCGUAGGAUUAGCUAGUUGGUGUGGUAAAGGCGCACCAAGGCGACGAUCCUUAGCUGGUCUGAGAGGAUGAUCAGCCACACUGGGACUGAGACACGGCCCAGACUCCUACGGGAGGCAGCAGUGGGGAAUAUUGGACAAUGGGCGAAAGCCUGAUCCAGCAAUGCCGCGUGAGUGAUGAAGGCCUUAGGGUUGUAAAGCUCUUUUACCCGGGAUGAUAAUGACAGUACCGGGAGAAUAAGCUCCGGCUAACUCCGUGCCAGCAGCCGCCGUAACAC
rnacentral:rRNA from 1 species